CUGGGACUGGUGGCAGCACUU
rnacentral:miRNA from 1 species